rnacentral:rRNA from 1 species
UGUAAGCGUAUACCAAAGUUGUUGCAGUUAAAACGCUCGUAGUCGGAAUUUGGCAGUUCCGGAUGUGUGCACGUCGUGUGCGCACUUCGCGGGGAUUGCUUUUGUGGUCUUGCGUAGGAUGAGGCACUUUCAUUAGUGAACGUCCUCACGCAACCACUCUUUACUGUGAGAAAAUCAGAGUGCUCAAAGCAGGCAUUUGCCGUGAAUGUAUUAGCAUGGAAUAAUAGAAUAGGACUCGGUUCUAUUUUGUUGGUUUGUUGGGACUGAGUAAUGAUUAAGAGGGACAGUUGGGGGCAUUUGUAUUCCGGCGCUAGAGGUGAAAUUCUUAGAUUGCCGGAAGACAAACUGCUGCGAAAGCGUCUGCCAAGGAUGUUUUCAUUGA